rnacentral:rRNA from 1 species
UACGUAGGCAGCGAGCGUUGUUCGGAGUUACUGGGCGUAAAGGGUGUGUAGGCGGUUGUUUAAGUUUGGUGUGAAAUCUCCCGGCUCAACUGGGAGGGUGCGCCGAAUACUGAAUGACUAGAGUGUGGGAGAGGUGAGUGGAAUUCCUGGUGUAGCGGUGAAAUGCGUAGAUAUUGGGAAGAACACCGGUGGCGAAGGCAGCUCUCUGGGACGGUACUGACGCUGAGACGCGAAAGCGUGGGGAGCGAACAGG